GGGUAGAAGGGUAACUGGUGUGCCUCCUGGUCUUCAAAACCAGUGUGAGCAGUUGUAGCUGCUCGGGUGGGUUCGAUUCCCACCUGCUCCC
rnacentral:tRNA from 1 species